rnacentral:rRNA from 1 species
GACGAACGCUGGCGGCGUGCUUAACACGUGCAAGUCGAGCGGAAAGGCCCUUCGGGGUACUCGAGCGGCGAACGGGUGAGUAACACGUGAGUAACCUGCCCCAGACUUUGGGAUAACCCUCGGAAACGGGGGCUAAUACCGGAUACGACACAGCUUCGCAUGGGGUCUGUGUGGAAAGUUUUUCGGUUUGGGAUGGGCUCGCGGCCUAUCAGCUUGUUGGUGGGGUGAUGGCCUACCAAGGCGACGACGGGUAGCCGGCCUGAGAGGGCGACCGGCCACACUGGGACUGAGACACGGCCCAGACUCCUACGGGAGGCAGCAGUGGGGAAUAUUGCACAAUGGGCGGAAGCCUGAUGCAGCGACGCCGCGUGAGGGAUGACGGCCUUCGGGUUGUAAACCUCUUUCAGCAGGGACGAAGCGUAAGUGACGGUACCUGCAGAAGAAGCGCCGGCCAACUACGUG